rnacentral:rRNA from 1 species
UACAGAGGGUGCGAGCGUUGUCCGGAAUCAUUGGGCGUAAAGAGCUCGUAGGCGGCCGGUUGCGUCUGCUGUGAAAUCCCGGGGCUUAACCCCGGGCGUGCAGUGGAUACGGGCUGGCUGGAGGCAGGCAGGGGAGAAUGGAAUUCCCGGUGUAGCGGUGAAAUGCGCAGAUAUCGGGAGGAACACCGGUGGCGAAGGCGGUUCUCUGGGCCUGUGCUGACGCUGAGGAGCGAAAGCGUGGGGAGCGAACAGG